AGAGUUUGAUCCUGGCUCAGGAUAAACGCUGGCGGCGCACAUAAGACAUGCAAGUCGAACGGACUUAACCGAAGUAUUUAUAUUUUGGAGCGGUUAGUGGCGGACUGGUGAGUAACACGUAAGCAACCUGCCUAUUAGAGGGGAAUAACAGUGAGAAAUCAUUGCUAAUACCGCAUAUGCUGUGAGUAUCGCAUGAUACAAACAGGAAAGGAGCAAUCCGCUAAUAGAUGGGCUUGCGUCUGAUUAGAUAGUUGGUGGGGUAACGGCCUACCAAGUCAACGAUCAGUAGCCGAACUGAGAGGUUGAACGGCCACAUUGGGACUGAGAUACGGCCCAGACUCCUACGGGAGGCAGCAGUCGGGAAUAUUGCACAAUGGAGGAAACUCUGAUGCAGUGACGCCGCGUGCAGGAAGAAGGUUUUCGGAUUGUAAACUGCUUUAGACAGGGAAGAAACAAGACAGUACCUGUAGAAUAAGCUCCGGCUAACUACGUGCCAGCAGCCGCGGUAAUACGUAGGGAGCAAGCGUUAUCCGGAUUUAUUGGGUGUAAAGGGUGCGUAGACGGGAAUUUAAGUUAGUUGUGAAAUCCCUCGGCUUAACUGAGGAACUGCAACUAAAACUGAAUUUCUUGAGUGCGGGAGAAGAAAGUGGAAUUCCUAGUGUAGCGG
rnacentral:rRNA from 1 species